GCCCUGGUAGCUCAAUUGGUUAGAGCGUCGGACUUUUAUUCCACUUCGUGGCUGGCCAUCCGAAGGCUGCGGGUUCGACCCCCGCCUGGGGCG